rnacentral:tRNA from 1 species
CGGCCCGGGCUGGGCGAGUUGGUCGCAGACGCCUUGACCGUCGGCGAGGCGUGGGUGGGCGCGCCGGUCGUCGGCGCGGGACCGACCGGGCUGCC